AUUCCAGCUCCAAUAGCGUAUAUUAAAGUUGUUGCGGUUAAAAAGCUCGUAGUUGGAUUUCUGCUGAGAACGGUCGGUCCACUCUUGGAGUGUGUAUCUGAUUCGGUCUUGGCAUCCUCUCGGAAACGGCUGCGCUUCAUUGCGUGGUCGGUGUCCGAGACUUUUACUUUGAGGAAAUUAGAGUGUUCACGGCAGGCUUCCGCCUUGAAUAUAUUAGCAUGGAAUAAUAAUAUAGGAUCUUGGUUCUAUUUUGUUGGUUUCUAGAGCUAAGAUAAUGAUUAAUAGGGACAAUUGGGGGCAUUCGUAUUAACGCGUCAGAGGUGGAAUUCUUGGAUUGCGUUACGACGAACUACUGCGAAAGCAUUUGCCAAGGAUGUUUUCAUUG
rnacentral:rRNA from 1 species